rnacentral:rRNA from 1 species
AUUGAACGCUGGCGGCAUGCCUUACACAUGCAAGUCGAACGGCAGCACGGGUGCUUGCACCUGGUGGCGAGUGGCGAACGGGUGAGUAAUAUAUCGGAACAUACCCUAGAGUGGGGGAUAACGAAGCGAAAGUUACGCUAAUACCGCAUACGAACUAAGGUUGAAAGUGGGGGAUCGCAAGACCUCAUGCUCAUGGAGUGGCCGAUAUCUGAUUAGCUAGUUGGUGAGGUAAAGGCACACCAAGGCGACGAUCAGUAGCUGGUUUGAGAGAACGACCAGCCACACUGGAACUGAGACACGGUCCAGACUCCUACGGGAGGCAGCAGUGGGGAAUUUUGGACAAUGGGGGCAACCCUGAUCCAGCAAUGCCGCGUGAGUGAAGAAGGCCCUCGGGUUGUAAAGCUCUUUUGUCAGGGAAGAAACGGUCUACUCUAAUACAGUGGGCUAAUGACGGUACCUGAAGAAUAAGCACCGGCUAACUACGUGCCAGCCGCCGCAGUAAUAC